rnacentral:rRNA from 1 species
GAUGAACGCUGGCGGCGUGCCUAAUACAUGCAAGUCGAGCGAACGGACGAGAAGCUUGCUUUUCUGAUGUUAGCGGCGGACGGGUGAGUAACACGUGGAUAACCUACCUAUAAGACUGGGAUAACUUCGGGAAACCGGAGCUAAUACCGGAUAAUAUUUUGAACCGCAUGGUUCAAAAGUGAAAGACGGUCUUGCUGUCACUUAUAGAUGGAUCCGCGCUGCAUUAGCUAGUUGGUAAGGUAACGGCUUACCAAGGCAACGAUGCAUAGCCGACCUGAGAGGGUGAUCGGCCACACUGGAACUGAGACACGGUCCAGACUCCUACGGGAGGCAGCAGUAGGGAAUCUUCCGCAAUGGGCGAAAGCCUGACGGAGCAAUGCCGCGUGAGUGAUGAAGGUCUUCGGAUCGUAAAACUCUGUUAUUAGGGAAGAACAUAUGUGUAAGUAACUGUGCACAUCUUGACGGUACCUAACCAGAAAGCCACGGCUAACUACGUG